AGUUUAUGGCUCUAUAUAAUCCUUAGCAACAAAACUCUAUAAUUUGGCUCUCCCUCCUCCCUCCUCCCUCCUCCCAACAUCUGAUCCUGCGGUGCAAGAAAAAUUUCUCCUCUCAUCGGUAAGAACUUAAUUGUUAUUCCUCUUUCAUUUUUCAUUAUGAUUAUGCAAGUAUAUGUAAACAAACAUUCAAAGUUAUCAAUCUUCAAAAUCAGUUAUAAAUCAGUAGUCCAGUUUGACUUCCUGAUCAAAAGUUUAAAGGUUUUGCCAAACUCCAAACUUUAUAAGAUUAAUAUCUUUGAGAAUAAAAUCUCAAUAUUAUCCUUCUAAACUUGGUUGAAAAUAUGAAAAGAAAUUUUCUCCCCUCCCACCAUGACAAUAUCUACAACUUUCAAGUUUUUAAAACUGUAUAUGCCUAUAAAUAGGCCAUAUAAUGUGGGUUUAGUAUGGAGUUUGAAUAAAUACGCUCACCUUACAAAGCUGGUCGACCCACUAUGGUAGCUCCACUUGCACCAAUGGGGGAGAGUGUAAGGUUUAUAUCAACUCAUAUCACGUUAUAUUUAUAAUUGGUGUAAGAUUAUCCUACAUGGUUUAGUAUGCAGUUUGCAUCAUAAAUCACCACCAAAAAUUUAUUCUCUUUCUAUCACAACAAGAGCCUCAUUUCUAUAAUCAAAAAAUAUUAAUAAUAUAUAAUAAUA
rnacentral:lncRNA from 1 species